GUAGGUGGCAAGCGUUGUCCGGAAUUAUUGGGCGUAAAGCGCGCGCAGGCGGUUCUUUAAGUCUGAUGUGAAAGCCCACGGCUCAACCGUGGAGGGUCAUUGGAAACUGGAGAACUUGAGUACAGAAGAGGAAAGCGGAAUUCCACGUGUAGCGGUGAAAUGCGUAGAGAUGUGGAGGAACACCAGUGGCGAAGGCGGCUUUCUGGUCUGUAACUGACGCUGAGGCGCGAAAGCGUGGGGAGCAAACAGGGAUUAGAUACCCUGGUAGUCCACGCCGUAAACGAUGAGUGCUAAGUGUUAGGGGGUUUCCGCCCCCUUAGUGCUGCGGCUAACGCAUUAAGCACUCCGCCUGGGGAGUACGGCCGCAAGGCUG
rnacentral:rRNA from 1 species